AUGGCGUCCUCCAGUACCACGGCGCCGGCUCUCUACUCCAACCAAAUCUCCGAGAAGCUUACUCGUGAGAACCAUCUGCUAUGGAAGGCCCAGGUGCUUCCGCAGAUCAGGGGCGCUGGGUUGUACGUGUACCUAGAUGGAUCCGUCGCGGCACCAGAAGAGAAGAUCUCGACCACGGACAAGGAGGGCAAGGUCACCUCCGUCCCCAACCCCGACUUCAUCGCCUGGAGAGGGCAGGAUCAGCAGGUCCUGUCCUACAUCAUCAACUCGCUGUCCAAGGAGGUACUCGUUCAGGUUCUUCAUCUGGAGACCUCACACGCGGUAUGGAGUGCCCUCACCAACAUGUUUUCAUCUCACUCCCGAUCCCGCAUCAACAAUCUGUGUAUCUCCCUCGCCAAUGCUCAGAAGGGGAACCAAUCUGUCCCGGCCUACUUUGCCCGGAUGAAAGGUUUCGCCGAUGAGCUUGCUGCUGCUGGAAAACCAGUUGGCGAGGAUGAGCUCAUCUCGUUUAUCCUUGCUGGCCUCGAUAUGGACUACACCCCAUUAGUCUCUGCCCUUGAUGCGCAGACUACUCCUGUAUCUCUUGAUGCUCUCUAUGGACAGAUGGCGAAUUUCGAUCAACGGGUCGAGCUGCUGCAAGGGACCAACUCCGGCUUCAAGUCCUCGGCUAACAUGGCUGCACGAGGGCGCGGGCGUGGCCGUGGCGCUCCUCGUGGUCGCGGCGGAGGCCGUGGCAGUAGCCACACGAGGGGUGGCAGCAGCACCAACGGCAACAACAACGCCCAUCCCUUCAACAACAACAACAGGGGUGGACGUACAGGCAACAUCAACAACAACCGUCCGACUUGCCAGAUCUGCGGCAAGUCAGGCCAUACGGCCAUGGACUGCUGGUACCGCUUCACCGACGAUUACCUUCCAGAAGAGAAGUCAGCGGGCGCCGCCAACCUGUCCUCCUACGGGGUGGACACCAACUGGUACGCCGACAGCGGGGCGACAAAUCACAUCACCGGAGAGCUAGAGAAGCUCACCGUCCGCGACAACUACCGCGGCACCGAUCAGAUCCACACCGCUGAUGGUUCAGGACCAAACAACGGGGAGAAUUCUCUAUCGAGGCAGAUGUAG
rnacentral:rRNA from 1 species